rnacentral:rRNA from 1 species
CCUACGGGUGGCAGCAGUGAGGAAUAUUGGUCAAUGGACGAGAGUCUGAACCAGCCAAGUAGCGUGAAGGAUGACUGCCCUAUGGGUGGUAAACUUCUUUUAUAUGGGAAUAAAAUGUUCCACGUGUGGGAUUUUGUAUGUACCAUAUGAAUAAGGAUCGGCUAACUCCGUGCCAGCAGCCGCGGUAAUACGGAGGAUCCGAGCGUUAUCCGGAUUUAUUGGGUUUAAAGGGCGCGUAGGUGGAUAGGUAAGUCAGUUGUGAAAGUUUGCGGCGCAACCGUAAGAUUGCAGUUGAAACUGGGAGGCUUGAGUACAGGAGAGGCGGGCGGAAUUCGUGGUGGAGCGGUGAAAUGCUUAGAUAUCACGAAGAACUCCGAUUGCGAAGGCAGCUCACUGGACUGCAACUGACACUGAGGCUCGAAAGUGUGGGGAUCAAACAGGAUUAGAUACCCCGGUAGUC